UACGGAGGGUGCAAGCGUUAUCCGGAUUCACUGGGUUUAAAGGGUGCGUAGGUGGGUUGGUAAGUCAGUGGUGAAAUCUCCGAGCUUAACUUGGAAACUGCCAUUGAUACUAUCAGUCUUGAAUAUUGUGGAGGUCAGCGGAAUAUGUCAUGUAGCGGUGAAAUGCUUAGAUAUGACAUAGAACACCAAUUGCGAAGGCAGCUGGCUACACAUAUAUUGACACUGAGGCACGAAAGCGUGGGGAUCAAACAGGAUUAGAAACCCGAUAGUCC
rnacentral:rRNA from 1 species